rnacentral:rRNA from 1 species
UACGUAGGGGGCAAGCGUUGUCCGGAAUCAUUGGGCGUAAAGCGCGUGUAGGCGGUCCGGUAAGUCCGCUGUGAAAGUCGGGGGCUCAACCCUCGGAUGCCGGUGGAUACUGUCGGGCUUGAGUACGGAAGAGGCGAGUGGAAUUCCUGGUGUAGCGGUGAAAUGCGCAGAUAUCAGGAAGAACACCAAUGGCGAAAGCAGCUUUCUGGGACGGUACUGACGCUGAGACGCGAAAGCGUGGGGAGCGAACAGG